UUUGGUAAAUUUGAAAAAUUCUUAAAGAAGGAUGAAUAACUUAAACAUUUGAAUCCUUCUUUGGCAAAGAAGAUAAAAGUUUAGCCAAAAAGCAUUAAAUGAUAUUUAUAUAUAGAUAUGUUCAGUAUGAUUAAAUAUUGAUUCUAAAUCUAGGAAAAGAUUAUGGUAAAUUGGUUUAUGGCCAAGCUAAAUGGAAUGUACAAAACUAAUCUUUAGGUGCUACUUGAAUUAAUCAGUCAAAAAUAUUCACUAUUUUAAAAGAGCAUAUUUUCUAUUUUUUUACAUGAUGUUCAACCAGUGAAAUAUUGGAAUGUGGCCUAAUAUACUCUUUAAUUCUGAUAACUCACUAAGUUUAUUUGUUCUUGCAAACAAAAUCCAAGUAUACUCUGUAUAACAACUACUUACAAAUUUUACAAAAUAAAAUUCAAAAUGGCAAGUUUACAAUGAGCAAGGACAACAUUUAGCACAAACAAACAAGAUGCAUUUUAAGAACCAUUAAAUCCUUCAGCCAAAGAUUCCGAACUUGCAUUUUUUAAAACUAUUUUGUUUUAAAUGGUUGUGUUUUAAGGUAUUAGACUAAAAAGUCAGCUUAUGUGAGUUUUUUUACUUUUUGUUUUUAAAAAUAUAUUGUGUUUAAUAUAUUUUCAAGGCAAUGUAAACAUUAAAUAUAACAUAUUAUUCAUGUGAAAAGGGAUGAAGUUUGAUUUAUGUUUUAACACUGAGACAUUUAGUUAUGCAGUAAAUCAGUAUAAUUUAAAAAAAUUGCUCAUAAAUUUUAGUGACUGGAUUAUUAUGAUAUAUUUGUAUUAAAAGUGCUUGCUCUACUGUUACUGUUUCUCACUAAAACACAUUGUUUUGAUAUUUAUAUUUAAAAAGAAUUAAUUUGCCUGAGUAUUAAACAGUAACUUGUCUUUUGGUUACAAGAAUAAUUAUGAAUAAUUUGAGUCUUAUUGUUAGUAAAUUUAUUUAUUUCAAGUUCACUACACACACACACACACACACACACAGUUUAACUAAGUGCAUGUAAAGCUACUGUUUUCCCCAUUACUUAUUUUGAAAGAUAAUUUAGAAAAUGCAUUGAAUUAUUCACAAAACUAAACCAAUUUUUAUUGUUGAAUGUUUUGUAUGAUUUUACUUUCUCAUCGUAGAACAUGAACUGACAAAUUUCUUCUAGUUAUUAUAUCACCUUGGUAAAUAAUAUGUAAUUGUAAGUAGACCAGCCAGAAACACUAGUUUUCUUUUCAUGCUAGUAUACUAAUUUAAACACUUAGAGCCGACCCACACAGCACUAGUAAUGGUAACUGUUAUGGUUGCCUUAAUGGUUUGCUUGAAAAUAAAUAAUUGUCUAUCAAUUACUUAUUAAUUCUAAAUUGAAAUGAUUUUACUUAGAAUUUUCAUUUAGGUACAAUGAAUGUGGGUUUGUGUAAAUUUUAACUCCAAUUUCAACAUUUACAGAAUCUAAUCUUCAUAGAAGUUCUAAAAUCAUCUGCAAGUGUGGUUAAGUGAUUUUAUAAAUUUGUCGUCUUGCUUGUAGAUUAAAAUUUUCCUCCUUACAGGGAUGGGUUUGUAUUAAUCACAUCCUUGAGGUAGCUGUAAUGUCCUAAUUACAAGUAUCACUCGGUGAGCACUGAUUCUUCAACUUUGAGCUUGGUUUAACUUGGGUACUUCUCUGACAGCUGCAGUAUACAUUGAGCUUGGUUUAACUUGGGUAAUUCUCUGACAGCUGCAGUGUAAUUUGAGCAUGGUUUAACCAUAUCCUUGAAUUAGUCAGCUGUAAUGCUCUAAUCACAAAUAUCACUCAGUGAGCAUUGAUUCACAAACUUAAGUUUUGGUUAAUUUCGUGUACAACUUUGGACAUUAUUUAAUAGCUAUGUGUACUCAUGGUGAUAUUCAAUUGUUCAAGAUAAGUGCUGACACUGUAUGCUUUAUGUGUUUGCAUAUUAAAUAAAUGCACUGUACUUAUAUUAGUAUUAAAAUUGUAUUACUAGAAAUUUGUAAGGUACAGAAAAGAACUUAAUUUCACAACCAUUAUACUUUAUAA